CAGUAGCCGCGGUAAUACGGAGGGCGCGAGCGUUACCCGGAUUUACUGGGCGUAAAGCGCGCGUAGGUGGUUUGUUAAGUUGGAUGUGAAAUCCCCGGGCUCAACCUGGGAACUGCAUUCAAAACUGACUGACUAGAGUAUGGUAGAGGGUGGUGGAAUUUCCUGUGUAGCGGUGAAAUGCGUAGAUAUAGGAAGGAACACCAGUGGCGAAGGCGACCACCUGGACUAAUACUGACACUGAGGUGCGAAAGCGUGGGGAGCAAACAGGAUUAGAUACCCGGGUAGUCCCUGUCUCUUAUAC
rnacentral:rRNA from 1 species